AGAAAGGGGGCAACCCUGAGUAAAGCGGCGUACGGGUGAGUAACACGUGGGUGAUCUACCUCUUAGUGGGGAAUACCCCUGGGAAACCGGGGACAAUACCGCAUAAGCCUGAGAAGGGAAAGCAGCAAUGCGCUGAGAGAGGAGCCCGCGGCCGAUUAGCUAGUUGGUAGGGUAAAAGCCUACCAAGGCGACGAUCGGUAGCCGGCCUGAGAGGGCACACGGCCACACUGGCACUGAAACACGGGCCAGACUCCUACGGGAGGCAGCAGUGGGGAAUCUUGCACAAUGGAGGAAACUCUGAUGCAGCGACGCCGCGUGAGCGAUGAAGCCCUUCGGGGUGUAAAGCUCUUUCGACGGGGACGAUAAUGACGGUACCCGGAGAAGAAGCUGCGGCUAACUACGUGCCAGCAGCCGCGGUAAUACGUAGGCAGCGAGCGUUGUUCGGAAUUACUGGGCGUAAAGAGUGUGUAGGCGGUGCUCUAAGUUCGGUGUGAAAUCUCCUGGCUUAACUGGGAGGGUGCGCCGGAAACUGGAGUGCUCGAGCGUGGGAGAGGAAAGCGGAAUUCCUGGUGUAGCGGUGAAAUGCGUAGAUAUCAGGAGGAACACCUGCGGUGUAGACGGCUUUCUGGACCAUUGCUGACGCUGAGACACGAAAGCGUGGGUAGCAAACAGGAUUAGAUACCCUGGUAGUCCACGCCCUAAACGAUGCAUACUUGGUGUCGGCCAUUCAGUUGGUCGGUGCCGGAGCUAACGCGUUAAGUAUGCCGCCUGGGGAGUACGGUCGCAAGGCUGAAACUCAA
rnacentral:rRNA from 1 species